UACGUAGGAUGCAGGCGUUGUCCGGAAUCACUGGGCGUAAAGGGUCCGUAGGCGGUUUGUUAAGUCUCCUGUGAAAACUCAGGGCUCAACCCUGAGAUGUCGGGGGAUACUGGCAAACUCGAGACUGUCAGAGGCAGGUGGAAUUCCCGGUGUAGUGGUGAAAUGCGUAGAUAUCGGGAGGAACACCAGUGGCGAAAGCGGCCUGCUGGGACAGUUCUGACGCUGAGGGACGAAAGUGUGGGUAGCAAACCGG
rnacentral:misc_RNA from 1 species